CGUAGGUGGCAAGCGUUGUCCGGAAUUAUUGGGCGUAAAGCGCGCGCAGGCGGUCUCUUAAGUCUGAUGUGAAAGCCCCCGGCUUAACCGGGGAGGGUCAUUGGAAACUGGGAGACUUGAGUGCAGAAGAGGAAAGUGGAAUUCCAAGUGUAGCGGUGAAAUGCGUAGAGAUUUGGAGGAACACCAGUGGCGAAGGCGACUUUCUGGUCUGUUACUGACGCUGAGGCGCGAAAGCGUGGGGAGCAAACAGGAUU
rnacentral:rRNA from 1 species